rnacentral:rRNA from 1 species
AUUGAACGCUGGCGGCAUGCCUUACACAUGCAAGUCGAACGGUAACAGGUCUUCGGAUGCUGACGAGUGGCGAACGGGUGAGUAAUACAUCGGAACGUGCCUAGUAGUGGGGGAUAACUACUCGAAAGAGUGGCUAAUACCGCAUGAGAUCUACGGAUGAAAGCAGGGGAUCGCAAGACCUUGUGCUACUAGAGCGGCCGAUGGCAGAUUAGGUAGUUGGUGGGAUAAAAGCUUACCAAGCCGACGAUCUGUAGCUGGUCUGAGAGGACGAUCAGCCACAGUGGGAGUGGGACACGGCCCAGACUCCUACGGGAGGAAGCAGUGGGGAAUUUUGGACAAUGGGCGAAAGCCUGAUCCAGCAAUGCCGCGUGCAGGAUGAAGGCCUUCGGGUUGUAAACUGCUUUUGUACGGAACGAAAAGCCCUGGGUUAAUACCCUGGGGUCAUGACGGUACCGUAAGAAUAAGCACCGGCUAACUACGUGCCAGCCGCCGCCGUAA